rnacentral:lncRNA from 1 species
GCCUGAACAAAAUCGGUGUUCUGGGAGAAAGGAAAGCAUGGUGCUGGUGAGGAAGCAGCAGUUGGUACGACAGGCAGCACCAGGGGUCCUCAAUGGAUUGGAUGAUGCCCACACACGUUGGAGAGGGCCAUGUGCUUUACUCACUCUACCAAUUCAAAUGGUAAUCUUCUCUGGAAACACCCUCAAAAACACACCCAGAAAUAAUGUUUAACAAGAUAUCUGGGCAUCCCGUGGCCCUGUCAAGUUGACACAUAAAAUUAACCAUCACAACCAGUGUUGCAGAAACUACAGCUGGUGCUAUUUUCAUCAGGAUGGUUCUAGCAAUCCUGAGAGAGAUGACCAAGAAUCUGGAGGUUUGGAAUUGGAAGUCAUCAGACUGGUAGAG